rnacentral:rRNA from 1 species
AAUGAAUGUUGGCGGCGUGGAUUAGGCAUGCAAGUCGCACGCUUUAUGUAGCAAUACAUGAGGAGUGGCGUAAGGGAGAGUAAUGCAUGGUUAGCUACCCUUGGGACUGGGAUAGCGGCGGGAAACUGCCGGUAAUACCAGAUGACAUCUUCGGAUCAAACGUGUGAAACGGCCCAAGGAGGUGACCAUGUCCUAUCAGCUAGUUGGCGGUGUAACGGACCACCAAGGCUAAGACGGGUAUGGGGCGUGAGAGCGUGCCCCCACUCACUGGGACUGAGACACUGCCCAGACACCUACGGGUGGCUGCAGUCGAGAAUCUUCGGCAAUGGGCGCAAGCCUGACCGAGCGACGCCGCGUGCGGGAUGAAGGCCUUCGGGUUGUAAACCGCUGUCGUAGGGGAGGAAGAUCCUGUGAAGAACAGGGUUUGACCGAUCCUAGGAGGAAGGGCCGGCUAAUCUCGUGCCAGCCGCCGCGGUAAAAC